rnacentral:rRNA from 1 species
GGGUUGUGAGGUUAAGCGACUAAGCGUACACGGUGGAUGCCCUGGCAGUCAGAGGCGAUGAAGGACGUGCUAAUCUGCGAUAAGCGUCGGUAAGGUGAUAUGAACCGUUAUAACCGGCGAUUUCCGAAUGGGGAAACCCAGUGUGAUUCGUCACACUAUCAUUAACUGAAUCCAUAGGUUAAUGAGGCGAACCGGGGGAACUGAAACAUCUAAGUACCCCGAGGAAAAGAAAUCAACCGAGAUUCCCCCAGUAGCGGCGAGCGAACGGGGAGGAGCCCAGAGCCUGAAUCAGUGUGUGUGUUAGUGGAAGCGUCUGGAAAGGCGCGCGAUACAGGGUGACAGCCCCGUACACAAAAAUGCACAUGCUGUGAGCUCGAUGAGUAGGGCGGGACACGUGGUAUCCUGUCUGAAUAUGGGGGGACCAUCCUCCAAGGCUAAAUACUCCUGACUGACCGAUAGUGAACCAGUACCGUGAGGGAAAGGCGAAAAGAACCCCGGCGAGGGGAGUGAAAAAGAACCUGAAACCGUGUACGUACAAGCAGUGGGAGCACAGAGCAAUCUGUGUGACUGCGUACCUUUUGUAUAAUGGGUCAGCGACUUAUAUUCUGUAGCAAGGUUAACCGAAUAGGGGAGCCGAAGGGAAACCGAGUCUUAACUGGGCGUUAAGUUGCAGGGUAUAGACCCGAAACCCGGUGAUCUAGCCAUGGGCAGGUUGAAGGUUGGGUAACACUAACUGGAGGACCGAACCGACUAAUGUUGAAAAAUUAGCGGAUGACUUGUGGCUGGGGGUGAAAGGCCAAUCAAACCGGGAGAUAGCUGGUUCUCCCCGAAAGCUAUUUAGGUAGCGCCUCGUGAAUUCAUCUCCGGGGGUAGAGCACUGUUUCGGCAAGGGGGUCAUCCCGACUUACCAACCCGAUGCAAACUGCGAAUACCGGAGAAUGUUAUCACGGGAGACACACGGCGGGUGCUAACGUCCGUCGUGAAGAGGGAAACAACCCAGACCGCCAGCUAAGGUCCCAAAGUCAUGGUUAAGUGGGAAACGAUGUGGGAAGGCCCAGACAGCCAGGAUGUUGGCUUAGAAGCAGCCAUCAUUUAAAGAAAGCGUAAUAGCUCACUGGUCGAGUCGGCCUGCGCGGAAGAUGUAACGGGGCUAAACCAUGCACCGAAGCUGCGGCAGCGACACUGUGUGUUGUUGGGUAGGGGAGCGUUCUGUAAGCCUGUGAAGGUGUGCUGUGAGGCAUGCUGGAGGUAUCAGAAGUGCGAAUGCUGACAUAAGUAACGAUAAAGCGGGUGAAAAGCCCGCUCGCCGGAAGACCAAGGGUUCCUGUCCAACGUUAAUCGGGGCAGGGUGAGUCGACCCCUAAGGCGAGGCCGAAAGGCGUAGUCGAUGGGAAACAGGUUAAUAUUCCUGUACUUGGUGUUACUGCGAAGGGGGGACGGAGAAGGCUAUGUUGGCCGGGCGACGGUUGUCCCGGUUUAAGCGUGUAGGCUGGUUUUCCAGGCAAAUCCGGAAAAUCAAGGCUGAGGCGUGAUGACGAGGCACUACGGUGCUGAAGCAACAAAUGCCCUGCUUCCAGGAAAAGCCUCUAAGCAUCAGGUAACAUCAAAUCGUACCCCAAACCGACACAGGUGGUCAGGUAGAGAAUACCAAGGCGCUUGAGAGAACUCGGGUGAAGGAACUAGGCAAAAUGGUGCCGUAACUUCGGGAGAAGGCACGCUGAUAUGUAGGUGAAGUCCCUCGCGGAUGGAGCUGAAAUCAGUCGAAGAUACCAGCUGGCUGCAACUGUUUAUUAAAAACACAGCACUGUGCAAACACGAAAGUGGACGUAUACGGUGUGACGCCUGCCCGGUGCCGGAAGGUUAAUUGAUGGGGUCAGCGCAAGCGAAGCUCUUGAUCGAAGCCCCGGUAAACGGCGGCCGUAACUAUAACGGUCCUAAGGUAGCGAAAUUCCUUGUCGGGUAAGUUCCGACCUGCACGAAUGGCGUAAUGAUGGCCAGGCUGUCUCCACCCGAGACUCAGUGAAAUUGAACUCGCUGUGAAGAUGCAGUGUACCCGCGGCAAGACGGAAAGACCCCGUGAACCUUUACUAUAGCUUGACACUGAACAUUGAGCCUUGAUGUGUAGGAUAGGUGGGAGGCUUUGAAGUGUGGACGCCAGUCUGCAUGGAGCCGACCUUGAAAUACCACCCUUUAAUGUUUGAUGUUCUAACGUGGACCCGUGAUCCGGGUUGCGGACAGUGUCUGGUGGGUAGUUUGACUGGGGCGGUCUCCUCCUAAAGAGUAACGGAGGAGCACGAAGGUUGGCUAAUCCUGGUCGGAUAUCAGGAGGUUAGUGCAAUGGCAUAAGCCAGCUUGACUGCGAGCGUGACGGCGCGAGCAGGUGCGAAAGCAGGUCAUAGUGAUCCGGUGGUUCUGAAUGGAAGGGCCAUCGCUCAACGGAUAAAAGGUACUCCGGGGAUAACAGGCUGAUACCGCCCAAGAGUUCAUAUCGACGGCGGUGUUUGGCACCUCGAUGUCGGCUCAUCACAUCCUGGGGCUGAAGUAGGUCCCAAGGGUAUGGCUGUUCGCCAUUUAAAGUGGUACGCGAGCUGGGUUUAGAACGUCGUGAGACAGUUCGGUCCCUAUCUGCCGUGGGCGCUGGAGAACUGAGGGGGGCUGCUCCUAGUACGAGAGGACCGGAGUGGACGCAUCACUGGUGUUCGGGUUGUCAUGCCAAUGGCACUGCCCGGUAGCUAAAUGCGGAAGAGAUAAGUGCUGAAAGCAUCUAAGCACGAAACUUGCCCCGAGAUGAGUUCUCCCUGACCCUUUAAGGGUCCUGAAGGAACGUUGAAGACGACGACGUUGAUAGGCCGGGUGUGUAAGCGCAGCGAUGCGUUGAGCUAACCGGUACUAAUGAACCGUGAGGCUUAACCUUACAACGCCGAAGGUGUUU